rnacentral:rRNA from 1 species
UACGUAGGGGGCAUGCGUUGUCCGGAUUUAUUGGGCGUAAAGAGCGUGUAGGCGGUUUGGUAGGUCCGCUGUGAAAACUCGAGGCUCAACCUCGAGACGCCGGUGGAAACCAUCAGACUAGAGUCCGGAAGAGGAGAGUGGAAUUCCUGGUGUAGCGGUGAAAUGCGCAGAUAUCAGGAAGAACACCCGUGGCUAAGGCGGCUCGCUGGGACGUGACUGACGCUGAGACGCGAAAGCGUGGGGAGCAAACAGG